AUUGAACGCUGGCGGCAGGCCUAACACAUGCAAGUCGAACGGUAACAGGAAGAAGCUUGCUUCUUUGCUGACGAGUGGCGGACGGGUGAGUAAUGUCUGGGAAACUGCCUGAUGGAGGGGGAUAACUACUGGAAACGGUAGCUAAUACCGCAUAAUGUCGCAAGACCAAAGAGGGGGACCUUCGGGCCUCUUGCCAUCGGAUGUGCCCAGAUGGGAUUAGCUAGUAGGUGGGGUAACGGCUCACCUAGGCGACGAUCCCUAGCUGGUCUGAGAGGAUGACCAGCCACACUGGAACUGAGCCACGGUCCAGACUCCUACGGGAGGCAGCAGUGGGGAAUAUUGCACAAUGGGCGCAAGCCUGAUGCAGCUAUGCCGCGUGUAUGAAGAAGGCCUUCGGGUUGUAAAGUACUUUCAGCGGGGAGGAAGGGAGUAAAGUUAAUACCUUUGCUCAUUGACGUUACCCGCAGAAGAAGCACCGGCUAACUCCGUG
rnacentral:rRNA from 1 species